CACUUCUUCCCUCUUUCUCCUCUUCUUAGUCGUCUCUUUCGUCGUCUUUUUUUUCUUCUUCAAUCGAUUAUCCAACUAUACCAUAUUCUAAUUCUACCAUGCAAUUGAAUCGAUUAUCAAAUUAGUUUCGAUUUGGGGAUCUCAGCUUCAACCCACGACAUCUCGGCUAUAUGGGAGAAUCUCGAUUUUGAAAUCCGAGACCUGUUUAUUAAAUCGAAUUGGAGGAGGAAGAAGGCGAGGUGAUCUAGUUGGCUCGGAG